UACGUAGGGUGCAAGCGUUGUCCGGAAUUAUUGGGCGUAAAGGGCUCGUAGGCGGUCCGUCACGUCGGGAGUGAAAACCCGGGGCUCAACCCCGGGCCUGCAUUCGAUACGGGCAGACUAGAGUUCGGUAGGGGAGUCUGGAAUUCCUGGUGUAGCGGUGAAAUGCGUAGAUAUUGGGAGGAACACCAGUGGCGAAGGCGGCUCACUGGACCGGAACUGACGCUGAGGCGCGAAAGCGUGGGGAGCAAACGGG
rnacentral:rRNA from 1 species